UACAGAGGUCCCGAGCGUUGUUCGGAUUCACUGGGCGUAAAGGGUGCGCAGGCGGUCGGGUGUGUCAGAUGUGAAAUCCCGAGGCUCAACCUCGGAACUGCGUCUGAAACUACUCGACUAGAGUACUGGAGAGGGUAACGGAAUUCACGGUGUAGCAGUGAAAUGCGUAGAUAUCGUGAGGGAACACCAGAGGCGAAGGCGGUUACCUGGACAGUUACUGACGCUCAGGCACGAAAGCAUGGGGAGCAAAAGGG
rnacentral:rRNA from 1 species